UGCAGAACUGCUAGGCCAUAUAGAUCGUUACACGUAUUGUGAGAGUUGCUUGGCCACAACAAAAGAAAUGGAACUCAUAGAGAAGAAGCUCUCGGGGGCUUCCAGACGCGAUGUUGUGGAGACGCUGGUUGACGAUGCCCUGUGCAACGCUGCCUCAUUUCAAAGUCAUGCUCAUCUCCCGGCCGACAAAAUGACAGCAGCCUGCAAGCACUUGUUGGAUGUUCACGGUGAAGAGUUCCGCGCAGCAUUGCUGCUCAGAGAAUCCGAGCGCCUGGACAUUCUGCUGUGUUACGAACGCUCUUUAGCCUGUGUGGGAGUGAAUCGACUAAAACAUCAGAACAAAGACAGGACUUCCUUCACGGACAGUGACAUCAAAGCUCAGCUGCGAGGGAGCGGAGCGGAUAUACGCAUUGCUCGGCUAGUCCACACCAACAUCACAACAAUGGCAGCAAAGGACGAACUGUAAAAACAGGACAAGGAAAUGAAGUAUCAUUGUUCAGUCUAAACUGUGAACCAAACAAGGCGAGUAAUACAAAUGGAAAAAUUUCGCGUAUAGAUCUGUUUAACUGGGUUAAUAAUCCUCGGUUUAUGUAUGAGUAAGAAUUGGAACGGAAUAAUCUGUAUUUCUUUGGUAGGAGUAGUGAUUUCUAUGAAAAUAGCGCCAUCCUGUGGCAUUACCGCAUACUUGCAAUAAAGGCUUUGUUGCAGAUA